GCCUGUCGUAAUGAGGAGAAGUCUGGACUGGUGCACAGUUUUAAUGAGAUACAGUGUAGACAUAAAGCAGAAAGACUAACAUCUGAAGCAAGACCUCAAAGUGGAGUAACAGAAACAGGUAGAGGAAUUACCUCAACAGAGAAACCUGGGUAGGAGAAGAGGAAACAACCAUUUUUAUGUCACAGGCAGAACAGAUAAAACUUGGCCUCAAAAUUGAAUGUGAAUUCAAGAGGCGAUAUCUAAAAGGACUUAAUUCACCAAGAGGAAAGGAGGGAAGCUAAAAAGAGAUCCAGCAGCUAAUGACAUCUAAGAGUUGAAUGGUGAGAGGAAAUGCUCGCUGUCGACAACACCAGUGAGGAAUGAAACAGCCAGCAGAACAUUUCUUUUGUUCUUGUUUCAUAUCUUUUCAUGAAAAUUAAAAGGGCAGUUUUCACAGCUGGUGAAGGACUUUUUUUUUUUCCCUUCGCUCUGCCAUCUGAUGCUGUCUCCACUUUGAAAACAGCAAAUUUAUGCCUGAAGCUGAACGGGAGACUCUUCCGAGCAGUAAGAGGGAGCCAGGAGCCAGAGCUCAGCUGGGUGCGCCCCAGGAUGCUCAAGACAGUCUGUGCUAUGAGAGGGAGAGAAUGGGGCUCUGAACUGGACAGGACUGAGCUUCCCUCAGACUCUGGCCAAGAACGAAGGGAUCAGCAGCAGGUGAUGCUGUAGUCAGAGCUGAUGUAAACCCAGGGCAAGGUUGGUUUAGAAAUAAAAGUGACCGUCUCAAGAGACAUUUGCUUCUUUAGGACAUCUUGCUUGCUUGUUGAAUGGGUAUGGGAUAAUCUAGUUGGUGGCUCCCUGCCAACACGUGGGAGUUGCUCUGGCAAAAUGUGUGGGUUUCUCUCUGUUCCUGCUGUAAAAUGAGGAGUCCUCACCUGCCACAAACCCUCAUGUUGUAAAAAGCUGCUCAAAACAAGGAUUUGCCCAGCAGUGUCAUUGUAGUUAUCAGACGUGACACAGUAAGCGUUUAGGAGUCAUAUUGCUUUGCCAUGGUGGAACCUGAUGAGGAACCUGAUGGACAACUUGUAUUAACAUCAUGGAGUGUGGGAGGCGAAAGAAAAAAGAAAUGGAGAUGAAUUUUCUCUUUAAAUAGAUGCUUGAUAAAAGAACAAGAGGCAGGUAAUACAUAGAUUUGCUGAGUUAAGAAAGUGUCCAUAGUAUUUGCAUUUUAUAAUUGUCCCUGCAAAGGUUAGUGUGAGCUGAAUCCCAGCCCAGAUUUCUUGUGCUUUUUCUUUUCUUCCCAUGUGGAGUGACAGAAUGCUAAAUAGCUUUGUUUCCAUCAUGCCAGGAGUUGCAGCAUGUUCUCUAGUCAUUCUUCCACUGAAUGGGAAACCAGUUGCCACCCCACCUUCACCCCCAGCAAAGGGUCUGGGAGUGAAGCCUGGCAGGAGCCAUCCCUGGAGACUGCUGCAAUGGCAGUGCAACUCGCCCCCCCCGGUCCCCCCCGAACAAAACAGACCACAAGUGGCGGAACGGUGCUCCCCCAUUAUUAAUCCCACUGUGAUUCUAAAUGUUGUGUUAUUACUGUAUGCACAAAGAUACUUGAGGGUUUUCUGAUUUCAAUUAUAAUGAUUAUCUCCUCUGAGAGAUAUAUUUUCUGCUGUUGGGAAAUCUCUUUCGCUGAUCUGCUCUGAAACAGAAGUCCUGUUUGUAUUAAGUGUGCAUUCCUGCUGGACUCCCCCUGUUUUACUGAGGUCUCCUGGCUUUGCCCCCCUCUAUGAGAGAUGGUGGAGACUCUCUCAAGAUGGGCUGCAGGCAGCAAGGAUUCCACACUCCACACGCUCUGCCAAAAACACUGUCUUGUGAAACAGUCAGGAACAGCACCUCCUCUGUGAGAUGGGCACUGCAAGGCUGGGAAGUGGUGGGACCAGUUGUGUGUGUGCUGAGACCUGGUACCGGCACAGGCAAGGGGAACCCAGGCAAAAUGGACUAUGCAUUGCUGCUCCAUUUAGGUCAUUUGUAAAAAGGAUGAUGCCGCUGUCAAGCCAUGAAGUGAUGCCCUCUAGUCUCCAAGAAACCUGGAAUGUCCCAGUGCAGGUUGCUGACUGCAAAUGAUGUGGUUUUGUUCUGUUCCGUUAAUUUACACUAUCUUUUGAACUACCUAUGCCAAGCAGAAUUCAAGAUUUCCACUUCACAAACAUCACCGCUAAAAUUUUUAUUCCAAAGGACAUUUGCUAGAUGUGAAAAUAGGUCAAAUACAUUUGUCCCAGGCCUAUCAAAUCACACCACAAAUAUAUGUGUUCAUGUAGACAAGCUUUGAAAGCACCAUGGAAGUAUUAGUGCUCUGGGAACAGUGCGUGUGCUGCUGCAAUGCCAUAGAGAAGAGCAUGGUGACAUCGGGCAGUGUGAAUUUUGAGACACCAAACCAUGCCUGGGGUCAUCAGUGGGAAUGUAGCUCUAAUUUAUGCAUGUCCUUCAAGGAGCAGUACACAGCAGAGCGGCAGCAGCUGAGCCCUGGCACCAUCUAUCGGCUCUCCAGGGACCCCAAACAUGACCUGAGAGCUUCACUCCAGCUCCCAGGGGAUAGAUGUCCACAAGUAAAAUGGCCAGAAGAGUUCACCACCUCUCUGUUGGCCUCAGCAAGGCGGCCAAGAGCUGAGUGGGCCAGGAACAGAAAUCGCAGUUAAAGCAAGAGGAAGACAAAUGACUAACAGAUGUUUGCCCUGCUGUUCCACCUGCACUACGGCUAAGGGGUCAGUCCACUGCAAUCUACAGGAUAUAUCUUUUCCCUGAUGGUAAAAAUGCUGAAUAUUCAGUGUCCCAGAUACUUGCUGGUGUCUGUCCCAGUGUGCCAAGUUCAUAUAAUCUCACAGCUACCACACCUCCAGUUACUUCAUUGUGCUCCUGCUUUUGGAUAUGAGCUUCCCUUUCUCCCAUGAAGCUUCUUCAGAAGCUUCUCUUCCACACAAAAUUAAUAUUAGAACCCCUUUCAUUUCAAAAUGACUCUUCCUUCCUUCCUUCAGAUGUCCCUUUCCUGGGAUGCUGCGUAAGUAAAAAAGAUAAAGAUGCUUCCUAACCUGAAGGCUGCCACUGUCUGCCAUUUCUUACAAAUGCUUUACCAAGCCUCCCAGAUGCACAUUAAGCUUGAUGUGGACUCUCUAAAUCUCAAGAACAUUUAAUAAAUAGGGAAUUAGUCUGACUAAGUUGUACUGGGGAUGAAUUUCUUACAUCGAUACAAUCUCCAAUGAGCACUGCACUUCAUUUAAUAAAUGUAUUUAUUAAAUACAUAAAAGAUUUGUAAAUGGAGCUCUUGUCUUGCUGAACCUUAUUAGCUUCAUCCUUAUUUAACAUUUAUUUUCUUGAGAUGAGACAAUAUUUGUUAAAUCUUGAACACGUCAUUGCAAAAUCCACCCAUGGUUUAUUCAGUCUGACUCUAAAUAUUAAAUUUCAACAUUUGCUAGACCUGGCUCCUUGUUUAAUCUACCAAGAUCUCUAACAAGCACAAGGAAAGAUUUGCUAACUCAAAAAUAACUGUUAUUGAAUCUCCAGUGGGUUUGUAAAA